GACGAGGAUGCGAGCGUUAUUCGGAUUUAUUGGGCGUAAAGCGUGCGUAGGCGGCUGUUUAAGUCUGGUGUUAAAGCUAGGGGCUCAACCCCUGUGAUGCACUGGAAACUGGGCAGCUUGAGUGCGGUAGGGGAAGGUGGAAUUCCGAGUGUAGCGGUGAAAUGCGCAGAUAUCAGGAAGAACACCCGUGGCGAAGGCGGCUCUCUGGGACGGUACUGA
rnacentral:rRNA from 1 species